rnacentral:rRNA from 1 species
GAUGAACGCUGGCGGCGUGCCUAACACAUGCAAGUCGAGCGAGGGUUUGCUCAGUAUUGAGUAUUCUAAGACUAGAAUGUUCAAUUCUGAGCAAAACCAAGCGGCGGACGGGUGAGUAACGCGUGGGUAACCUGCCCUAUACACAUGGAUAACAUACUGAAAAGUUUACUAAUACAUGAUAAUAUAUAUUUGCGGCAUCGCAGAUAUAUCAAAGUGUUAGCGGUAUAGGAUGGACCCGCGUCUGAUUAGCUAGUUGGUGAGAUAACUGCCCACCAAGGCGACGAUCAGUAGCCGACCUGAGAGGGUGAUCGGCCACAUUGGAACUGAGACACGGUCCAAACUCCUACGGGAGGCAGCAGUGGGGAAUAUUGCACAAUGGGCGAAAGCCUGAUGCAGCAACGCCGCGUGAACGAUGAAGGUCUUCGGAUCGUAAAGUUCUGUUGCAGGGGAAGAUAAUGACGGUACCCUG